GAAAUGCGAUACUUGGUGUGAAUUGCAGAAUCCCGUGAACCAUCAAGUCUUUAAACGGAAGUUACGCCCGACGCUAUUAGGCUGAGGGCACGACUGCCUGGGUGUCUCGCAACGUCGCCACCGCCCAUCCCAUGGGCGCAGCGGAUGAUGGUUUCCCAAGAGCC
rnacentral:rRNA from 1 species